AUGGCGAUGCCGCAGAAGAGGCGCCGCCGCCGGAGGAGGCCUCUUCAAGAAGGAGGAGCGCCCCGCCGGCGCCUUGGUGAAGAUGGCGCAUCGGUGUCUGGAUCCCUUGUCGAUUCGGAUAGCAACAGCCGUGUGGAUGGAGGCUCUCCGCCGCCCGGAUUCCCCGACGAGCUUGUUAUGUCCUCAACAGUGUCAAGGUACCAUGAAAUUAUUGCCUCGCGCCUCGCCCAGUUGCAGUUACCAGUCGGCGACGACGGCUCGGACUUGGCCGGUUUUUCAGAUCUCCCUUCCCGUGAAAUCCUCGAAGUCCUUACUCGUAAAUCUUUCCCCGAUGACUAUUCGCGAGCUGCUCUGCUAGAAUACCAAUGCCAGAAGAUCUUGAACGAGACCCAGGGACGAGAUAGAGAUUCUGUAAAAUCUGAUUCGGCCGUUGUUGAUACUGAACCCGGCGAUGUUAUCACGGAGGUGGAACACAUGAGAGACUGUGAAUUGCUAGGGGCUGACAAGGAUGAGAUUGACACUUAUACCAAACUGGACCAAGAGCAGGCCAACAAGCUCCAUCUCAAGUAUGCACUCUAUCGCAUCAAAGCUUGCCUGCUGUUGAAAGGGAAGCCGGUUGACGAGCUGGAUGAUGUUGCAUUGGAACGCAAGUACCCUCCAGAGCUUAUCGUGAAGAACAACUACUUUUUUCACUAUGAGGAUGACUUCUUUGGUUGGUAUUUUGAUUCCGAACUCUGUUACAAAGCGUCCUUGAGCGACUACCAGCGGCUAGUCCUUUUAAAUGAUGGUGAUGAGUAUUCGAGUUGGAGAAGAUACCAAACAUUUUAUAGCACCCCUGAAGCUGAUAGAGAUUAUCUCAACUACUGGGAAACAAUUGUGAAGGAACUUAAAUGGCUUGAGCAGUAUCUGCUGACAAACGAGUCUUCUAUUGAGUGGGCGCAUAAACAUUCAAAGGCUAUGUUCCAAGCAAUUAGGAUCGCUUCUAAGUUUCCCUGCAUGACUCUGAAACUAGCAGCUGUUGGUUUACAUGAGUAUAUAUGGAAUGCGCGCAUACAUCUCAUGUUUGUGAAAGAUCUUGAUGGUAUCUUGUGUCAGAUUUGGAGGCGGCUCAAUGCGGGCAUCAGCUGCGUUUCAGAGAUGCUCUCAAGCAAGUUUAUGAGGCUAACUUGUUUCCAGCACACGACCGCAGUAUGA
rnacentral:rRNA from 1 species